rnacentral:rRNA from 1 species
UACGUAGGGGGCGAGCGUUGUCCGAAUUUACUGGGCGUAAAGCGCGCGUAGGCGGACCUUUAAGUUGGGGGUGAAAUCUCAAGGCUUAACCUUGAAACUGCCUCCAAAACUGGGGGUCUGAGGUAUGGAGAGGGAAGUGGAAUUCCUGGUGUAGCGGUGAAAUGCGUAGAUAUCGUGAGGAACACCAGAGGCGAAGGCGGUUUCCUGGACAGUUACUGACGCUCAGGCACGAAAGCAUGGGGAGCAAAAGGG